rnacentral:SRP_RNA from 1 species
GCCGGGCGUGGUGGCUCAAGCCUGUAAUCCCAGCACUUAGGGAGGCCGAGACGGGCGGAUCACGAGGUCAGGAGAUCGAGACCAUCCUGGCUAACACGGUGAAACCCCAUCUCUACUAAAAAUACAAAAACUUUUUGUAUUUUUAGUAGAGAUGGGGUUUCACCGUGUUAGCCAGGAUGGUCUCGAUCUCCUGACCUCGUGAUCCACCCAUCUCGGC